ACUCCUACGGGAGGCAGCAGUGGGGAAUAUUGCACAAUGGGGGAAACCCUGAUGCAGCCAUGCCGCGUGUGUGAAGAAGGCCUUCGGGUUGUAAAGCACUUUCAGCAGUGAGGAAGGGUGGGGUAUGUUAAUAGCAUACUCAUUUGACGUUAGCUGCAGAAGAAGCACCGGCUAACUCCGUGCCAGCAGCCGCGGUAAUACGGAGGGUGCGAGCGUUAAUCGGAAUUACUGGGCGUAAAGCGCAUGCAGGUGGUUUUGUUAAGUCAGAUGUGAAAGCCCGGGGCUCAACCUCGGAAUUGCAUUUGAAACUGGCAAACUAGAGUACUGUAGAGGGGGUGGGA
rnacentral:rRNA from 1 species